rnacentral:rRNA from 1 species
UACAGAGGUCCCGAGCGUUGUUCGGAUUCACUGGGCGUAAAGGGUGCGUAGGUGGUUGGGUAAGUCUGAUGUGAAAUCUCCGGGCUCAACCCGGAAAUGGCAUUGGAUACUAUCUGGCUAGAGGUUUGGAGGGGGGACUGGAAUUCUCGGUGUAGCAGUGAAAUGCGUAGAUAUCGAGAGGAACACCAGUGGCGAAGGCGGCUCACUGGCCCGAUACUGACGCUGAGGCACGAAAGCGUGGGGAGCAAACAGG